CCACCGAGGCCAAACCCGAGCAUGGUGCAGGUGAAAGCCAGCGACGCCGCGCCCCGGGUCGCGCCGAAGUCGGCCUGGACGAUGGGGAUGACCACCACCACCGACCACAUGCCGACGCUGCCGAUCGAUCCGAUAAUGAGGGCAAUACCCAGCCGUGCCCACGCCGCACGUGAGUCCGGCGUAAAACCCACUGGAUGAGAGGCAGAAUCGAUGGAAACCGGCACGGACGCAACUUCGUCGGCCUUAUGCCGCCGGUCAAGUCAUUCUCCGAAUGGGGGUUAUGCGAGAAUAACAUCCUCCCGCAC
rnacentral:misc_RNA from 1 species